AUACAGAGGGUGCGAGCGUUAAUCGGAAUUACUGGGCGUAAAGCGCGUGUAGGUGGAUAAGUAAGUUGGAUGUGAAAGCCCCGGGCUUAACCUGGGAGGGUCAUUCAAAACUGCUUAUCUAGAGUACAGUAGAGGGAAGUGGAAUUCCGGGUGUAGCGGUGAAAUGCGUAGAUAUCCGGAGGAACAUCAGUGGCGAAGGCGACUUGCUGGACUAAUACUGACGCUAAGGAGCGAAAGCGUGGGGAGCAAACGGGAUUAGAAACCCCGGUAGUCC
rnacentral:rRNA from 1 species